UGGAAAGGUUUUCUUUUCUUCUUUAUUUUUUCCUCAGUCGACUAAAUUACUUUUCUCUAUUUUGUCUUGCUACUCUUAAUGCAUGCAUAAAAAGCCCUAGGACAAUUUCUAAUGGCCUGGGACUCCUUGGAAAAAUAGAAGAGACACCACAGAUUCCAUUUUGGGGGAAAUCUCUAUUGUCCUCAUGGAACACCAGGAAUUGGAGCUUUUGGAUGCUACAGAGGGCCCCUAGAGCACCCAACAGGGAGGUAAACAGGAUUAUUUGACAUGUUUGGGACACAGCUGGAGAUACUGGUCAUUUUACCAAGGCUUUGACCAGAAUGGUGUGCUUCCCUUUAAGGAAUCGAACUUCACUUGCAGAGUCAAUAAAAGCCCCUUGGAAAAACUAACCUCAUACCUUGUCUACAUAGUCCCUGUACAGGGUUCCUAACCUGUGAUUCAGCUUGCUUAUUCCUGUAAACCAACCAGUGAUCUAUGGCUGCAGCUCAGAAGAAACAAAAUGGAUAGGCCAUUGUACUUCAAAUGGUAAUGCAAAUGGAACCACACAUGGCCACACCAUUCUUCUGGGGACCCUUAAAUUAACCUCAGGAGGAGCCCUGACUGUUAUAGUCCCCCACACGAUGCCACUAUUUUGCCGGAAUUAGCUAGAAAGAUCAUCACCCAACCUUCCUAACAGUAGCCGGGGUCUCCAGUCCUGAGUGGGGAAAUGAGAACGGAAAAAGGAAAAAAACUGUAAGCAGACAGUUAAGGCCAGUCCUCAGUAUAAUUCUUUUAAACAGAGAAACAGCCUGAAAAAUCAAGUUGCAGCUGCACAGAUAAGGGAGCAAGGCCCCACAUAGAAACACCUUUGUUCUUUGUAUAAUUGGUGGGCUCCCAGGGAAAAGUUUCCUCCUCUUCUAUGAGCAUGCACACAGGGGGAUCCAUGGAAACUUGCAUGGAAAGGAGGCUUGCCUGAGACAUGCCUGCAGCUGCACAGGUGAGGGCAGUUACACAGACAGCUACACAGAUAGGCGAAGUUUUUUUUGUUUUUGUUUUUGUUUUAAUGAAAGCCCCUGUAUUCAACUGAAGAAAAGGCAACCCUCUCAGGUCCCCCUUCUAUUGCGAAGAGCUUUCCUAUUUUGCUUAUUAAACCUCUGCCCCAGCUUCACCUUUGGUGUCCAUGGUCCUUAAUUUUCUUGGUCAUUAGACAAGAGCUUGAGUAAUACCUCAGACAACAAGACUGCAACACCUCCAUCCCAUGUUUAUAUUUCCUAUCUUCCACAAAUGGAACACUAGCACCCCCAAAUAUCAACAUGCAGGUUUUGUAAGCUAUA